GAUGAACGCUGGCGGCGUGCCUAAUACAUGCAAGUCGAGCGAACAGACGAGGAGCUUGCUCCUCUGACGUUAGCGGCGGACGGGUGAGUAACACGUGGAUAACCUACCUAUAAGACUGGGAUAACUUCGGGAAACCGGAGCUAAUACCGGAUAAUAUAUUGAACCGCAUGGUUCAAUAGUGAAAGACGGUUUUGCUGUCACUUAUAGAUGGAUCCGCGCCGCAUUAGCUAGUUGGUAAGGUAACGGCUUACCAAGGCAACGAUGCGUAGCCGACCUGAGAGGGGGUUCGGCCAACCUGAACCUGGGCCACGGCCCAGCCCCCUAGGGGAGGAAGCAUUAGGGAUCCUUCCGAAAUGGGCGAAAGCCGGACGAAGCAACCCGCGGUGGGUGAUAAAGUCCUUCGGUUCGAAAACCCCUUUUAUAAGGGAAGAACAAAUGUGUAGGUACUAAUGCACGCCUUGACGGUACCUAAUAAGAAGGCCCCGGCUAACUACGU
rnacentral:rRNA from 1 species